AUACGUAGGGGGCGAGCGUUGUCCGGAAUGAUUGGGCGUAAAGGGCGCGUAGGCGGCCUGUUAAGUCUGGAGUGAAAGUCCUGUUUUCAAGAUGGGAAUUGCUUUGGAUACUGUUGGGCUUGAGUGCAGGAGAGGUUAUCGGAAUUCCCGGUGUAGCGGGGAAAUGCGUAGAGAUCGGGAGGAACACCAGUGGCGAAGGCGGGUAACUGGACUGCAACUGACGCUGAGGCGCGAAAGUGUGGGGAGCAAACAGGAUUAGAUACCCUGGUAGUCCACACUGUAAACGAUGAAUGCUAGGUGUAAGAGGUAUCGACCCCUUUUGUGCCGGAGUUAACACAAUAAGCAUUCCGCCUGGGGAGUACGGCCGCAAGGUUGAAACUCAAAGGAAUUGACGGGG
rnacentral:rRNA from 1 species